rnacentral:lncRNA from 1 species
UUUAUGUCCGCACAAAUCAAUAAAUACCAACAGGUGGUUCUAAAGAUUUUCCAGGUUCCGUGUGUUUGUGUGACAAGCAUUUCCUGGCUGUACCAUCUCCCCAGCCCCGGGCUCUGUGAGACUAACAUGCCAGCAUCAGGACCAGAAUGGAAACAUCACAGCAGCCUGUGCCUCCGGUCUCCUGGGAGAUAACCGGAGAAUGAAAAUUGAACAAAUUCCAGAUUCAUACUUGGAAAAAAGAGAAUUCUGAGAUGUGCCCAGACAGCCCGAUGUCCACUUUCUGGCUACUGGCAGCUUCUCUACUCAGUGACUGCCGC